UGGCGCACGGGUGCGUAACGCGUGGGAAUCUGCCCUUUGCUACGGAAUAACUCAGAGAAAUUUGUGCUAAUACCGUAUAAUGUCGUAAGACCAAAGAUUUAUCGGCAAAGGAUGAGCCCGCGUAAGAUUAGCUUGUUGGUGGGGUAAAGGCCUACCAAGGCGACGAUCUUUAGCUGGUCUGAGAGGAUGAUCAGCCACACUGGGACUGAGACACGGCCCAGACUCCUACGGGAGGCGGCAGUGGGGAAUAUUGGACAAUGGGCGAAAGCCUGAUCCAGCAAUGCCGCGUGAGUGAUGAAGGCCUUAGGGUUGUAAAGCUCUUUUACCAGGGAUGAUAAUGACAGUACCUGGAGAAUA
rnacentral:rRNA from 1 species